CCUCAUCUCAUGCUUAUCUUCCCGAACCCCUCUCACAACUCCUCAUCUCAUGCCUAUCUUCCCGAACCCCUCUCACGCCCUCUCCUUCCAACUCCUCUCACGUCCUCUCCAUCCAACUCCUCUCCAACAAACCCCUCUCCGGCAAACUCCUCUCUGCGAACCUCCUCUCCUCUGAAUUCCUUCACCUCUUCGUCAAAUAGCAAAUGCCCUAAUCACUCCGCUCUUGGAUCGCCACCCUCCGCACUUGGCCUCCUCUUUGGAAGAUCGAUAUUUGCAGCUCGGGUUUGCGAAGGCGGAAAGCGGUACGGAUGAUGGAGAAUCGCAGAGCAUAUGAAAGGAAAAGGGAAACGGGUCGUCUCUUUGCUUCCUCGUCGCUCGCUCUGCCACCACGCGAGGCGAGCAAGGCUGAUCCGUUCGUGCUUUCUUCCCCGAGUUAGAUCUCAUCCUUGAUCGAGCCGAGAGCCCUUUGGGUGCGAUUCGAGGCAACACAAUUAUGGAUGAUAUCGCAUCCAUUACCAUUUUUGACUGAAGCAGCUUGUUGUUUGAUGAUCUGCCGGAACUUGAGAUUUUGAGUGCUCAGUUAAAAUAAUUUUUGAAACUCCGUACUAAUGUCCUGUGGAAUUUGUAGGAGCGAUAUGUGGCAAUGGCAGGAAGAAGAAGAAUGUUGCCUGCCAACAUAUUUCCAAUUUGCUUUACUUCUAUGGGAUGAUAUGAUGGGAAAUCAAACUCCACUUCGAGGAUUUGGUGAUUUCGACUUAGACGAAUUGGAUUUUGGAGAUGAGGUCGAGAAGGGCGUGGAGGAAGCAAACGGGGCAUCAAGAGUGAAAAGGCGUCAUGUUCUAAAUUUUUUUUUCUGAUGAUGAUGGUGCCACAGCCGUCAAUGAGCAUUUGUCCUCUGAAGUAGUUUGUUCCAAGACUGUUACUUCAGUUAGAUAAAUUAGAUUCAUCUUAAUACUUUAUUCAAAUUAGGCUAAAGCAUCCACUUGAUGCGUUUGAUUUUUUUACUUUAGGUUCAGGAGGACUCGACAUCAGCAAAAAUAUGCACACAAAAUUUACAGUCGAAUCUCACGUGUUCAGAUACACGGUGGUAGGUGUUUUGUUCCAGUCUCAAGCCGUCAAUCCAUUUUGAUCAAUAUAUCUAGUAGAAGUAAGCAUGCAGAUUGUUGUCUUAGAGGCCGGCUAGCUAUUUUGUGCUUUUUUUUUGUUUUAAAUUUGAAUAUCACUAACUACUUUGAAACAUAAAUAUUUAAUCUUUUUGUAUAGUUGAAUUCUCCUGUAAAUACUAAUACUUUGUAAUUGAAUUCUAUUGUUUGGUA